AGGGGCUGGAGAGAUUGCUCCAUGGUAAAGAAAAUCUUGCUGCUCAUUUAGAGAACCAAAGUUCAGGCCCAGUAUCCCAGCUAAGGUGGCUGAUGACUGCUUGUAAUUAAGAAGAGAAUUCCUGGAAGACAGAGGCUUGCAACUGUGCCCCGGGCUGCUGUGCCUCCCACGGUACUCAAAGAGCUGAGUCAGAAGCACAUUGAUAAUUGUAUUGCUUAGUGCCUUUCCAAAAAUAUCUAGAAUGAUCUACCCACUCAGUCAUCAAGAGUGCCCUUAUGGAGGAUGUAGGCAUCCUGUCAAGUGAGGCUGUGGUGCUGAGGAGUAGGGCUGAUGUGCUCCAUCACCACUCCAGCUCUUGUGAAUGGACAUCUUCUGCUCUCUCAUGUACUUGGAGGCAAGUUUCACUGCUGUCAACAUCUCCACACCCCCAGCCAACAGAAUUUUGCUCUUGUCUCUUGACUUUGUGUAAAAACAACAUUGAUUAUGUGCAUGCAUUAACCUUUAUUGAAGGGAGUUCUGAGAUAGAAUAGAAACCUACACAGAUGAUCAGCCAGCUUUGUGCAUCUUCCACAUGCUUUUGAAAAUAGAUUCUCAAUGUAGCAAAUAGGCUCAGGUUGGAUACAAAUUCUAUAUUUGGCUUUGAAAAGUAUGACACU